GCAGGUGCUGCCCUGCUGAGCUGUGCCAGAAGAUCACCUGCUUUCCUACCUGUGACAUGACAGCGUCAAUGCAGCUAGUGGCUAUGAACCUUUAUUGCCAUUGCUGCUUCAUCAUUUGCCUGCUGUGCGCCUUGAAUGUUAUGGUGAGACUGGACCUUCCUCGUCUAUUGAAUUUGGAUCUGAUGGUGUUGCCCUCUCUCUCCACCUCCUUCCCUGGAUUUACAUGAUGCACGAACACAAAUCUGUGUUUCCCUUUACCACCACAAAAUGUACCUGACACUCCCUGGUGGACAAGAAAGUCUCAGCCCUGGCAAGCAGAGGAAAAAGUCACUGACAGUCUGCUGAUCCACUCACUCAUGCAUCCUGAUAUCUCUCCUGUGUGAGUUCUCAUGUGUUUUGAGAUUUUACAUUCUGUACAGGAAAAAGGCUUUUCUCCUGUGUGAAGCCUCAUGUAUACUGAUGGCUGCUCUGAGUAAAACUUCCAUCACAUUUUUUCACAAGAAUAGGCCUCUCUGCUGUGUGACUGUAUGAGACCAGGGCAAUAAUUAAACUUAUGUACAGAAAAAGGCUUUUCUCCUGUGAGUUCUCGCGUAUUUGGAUAUUGGAACUAUUACCAAAAGUGAUGUUAGCUUUGCAAGCUCCUCUGUAUGAAUUAUCAUAUGUGCUUUGAGAUUUCUAUGUACAUGCUGACUACUUGCAUUAAAGUUCUGCUUUUUUA